CACAUUAGUGUUGUGUUGACGUUGUUCCCUCCAUUUUCGCCUCCGGCAGUGGCAAUUUACUUGUCGACUUCACGGGUUGUGCUCCAAA